rnacentral:lncRNA from 1 species
UUCCAUUUCUACAAGCAUGCAGAGUGACAAUUAACAUUUGUGGAUUUAAAAACUUGGUGGUCCCACAGUCACGAGAUGCACACCGAUUAACCUCAGAUACGUGAUAACUACCUCAAAAUAUCCAAUGGUCCGAAAGUAGCGAGCAACCUGUUUCGACAAACAACGAGCAAUGAUAGAAUCACAAGGCUGUAACAUCUCUCUCCACAACACUCACUAUCCAGCAGAUCACUACUAAAGGAACCCAUCGAUUAUAACUAAGAUCAACGGUGCAAAAAUCGCUGUAACACUCACAUCAAACACUUUCAAAGUCUUCAGAUACAAUCCCUUUACUGUAACCACCGUUAAAAAAUAGCAGGACGGUAGAUAUUUUCAUUUAUCAAUACCUAACCACAGUCAAGUUAACCUAACCAUGGUCAAAUCAAGCAGUUUAUAAUCCUCGAUAACCAUGCCAUCAACUCCUCAUUCACACACUUACUUCCAUUGCCGCAAAUAAUGUUCAAAGACUCCAAACAAUGAUGAUGAUCGGAGAACUCUCUCAUCACCGUUCGAAUCCCACCGUUCAAAUCCCUCAAUGGGACCCAUACGAAGACCAAACAACGACAUCUCCCACGCUGUCCCCAAUCCCGACUUCUCCAUUCACCAACUUCAACGCCCUCGAUUCCCUAACGUCGCUUCACCGUUACCUUCCGUCGAACGAGCCAGACCCUUCUUUUGAAGACGAACUAGAUUUACCAGUGGACGCGUUCUCAUGCGAUCACUUCCGUAUGUACGAGUUCAAAGUGAAAAGGUGUGCCCGUGGCCGGUCACAUGACUGGACCGAGUGUCCUUACGCACAUCCUGGCGAGAAAGCGCGGCGCAGGGACCCAAGAAGGUAUCAUUACUCUGGAACUGCCUGCCCGGAGUUUCGGAAAGGUGGCUGCAAGAAAGGAGAUGCUUGUGAGUUUGCUCACGGUGUCUUUGAGUGCUGGCUCCAUCCGGCCCGUUACCGAACUCAGCCGUGUAAGGAUGGACCUGCUUGUCGCCGCAGGGUUUGUUUUUUUGCUCAUACUCCGGAACAGCUAAGACUCCUUCCUCAGCAGAGUCCUAAGGGCAAUGGAUCCGGGUCUGGACUCGUGUCGGGGGAAUAUGAUUUUGGGUCCCCGGUUAUACAUCCUUUUGACUCCUACAUGACUAAAGCUGGGAUUUUUGUUUCAUCUCCGACUUCGAUUUUGACCUCGCCGCCAGCUUCUCCACCAUCUGACUCGCCACCAAUGUCUCCAGUUAGUCCACAGGUGAUUGGCGGCUGUGGACCCGGAUCCUUAAAUUCCAUGAGUGCGCUUCUUGCUUCGAUGCGGGGACUGCAGGUGGGGAAGGCGAAAAUGGGAUCUCCUGUUGGUUCCUGGGGAGUACAAUCCGGUUUCAGAUUCGGGUCUCCGCGUGGGUCAUCACUGCGACCCGGUUUCUGUAGCCUGCCUUCAACUCCUACUAGAACAAUGGCAAGUCGGUCUGGACUUGGUCAGUUGGAUAUGUGGGGAGAUGGGGUCACUUGUGAGGAAGAGCCUGCCAUGGAGAGGGUGGAGUCUGGGAGAGAUUUAAGGGCAAAGAUAUAUGCCAAACUAAGUAAAGAGAACUUGGUGGACCGCGAUCGAGUUGACUCGGGUGUUUCGGGUCCAGAUGUUGGGUGGGUUUCUGAGUUGGUGAAGUGAAAUGAAGGACGAUGAAGUUUCCGAUUUUUUUUAUUAUUCUCUGACUUUUGUGAAUAUGAAGAUGAUGGUGAUUUGGUGUGUAAAUAUGAUGCUGUAGAGGGGCUGAGAGAGAAACCAAUAGUCUCUCCGUUUUUGUGGCAUUUUGGGAGGAGAAAAAAAAAAGAUGCAAGCCUUUUCUUGUAAAGCAAUAAAUGAAGUAUUUCUUAGGGUUCUGCCGGGAACGGGUGGUGGUUUGUUCGUCAAACUUCUUAAAGAUUUGUAUUUUGAAUGAUCAUUUUGUCUAAUUUUAUCGGAUAUAAUUACAUCUUUGUAAGUAACCUUAUGUUUAUUAUUCUAAUCAAUGUAAUGUUAUAUUUCAAGUUGAAUUUCGAGUGAUCUUUUUUU